rnacentral:rRNA from 1 species
AGAGCUUGAUCCUGGCUCAGGGUGAACGCUGGCGGCGUGCCUAAGACAUGCAAGUCGAACGGGUUGGUAACAACACCGUGGCGGACGGGUGAGUAACGCGUGGGUGACGUGCCCUGGAGUUGGGGACAACCAAGCGAAAGUUUGGAUAAUCCCCGAUGGUGAUGCAGCUCCUGUGCUGUAUCUAAAGAUUUAUCGCUCCAGGAUCGGCCCGCGUCCUAUCAGGUAGUUGGUGGGGUAACGGCUCACCAAGCCAACGACAGGUAACUGGUCUGAGAGGACGACCAGUCACAGGAGCACUGAGACACGGGCUCCACUCCUACGGGAGGCAGCAGUUAGGAAUAUUCGUCAAUGGGGGAAACCCUGAACGAGCGACGCCACUUGAAGGACGAAGCCUUUCGGGGUGUAAACUUCUGAACUCGGGACGAUAAUGACGGUACCGAGCUAAUAGCACCGGCUAACUCCGUGCCAGCAGCCGCGGUAAUACGGAGGGUGCGAGCGUUACCCGGAUUUACUGGGCGUAAAGGGCGUGUAGGCGGUUUGUUAAGUCCGAUGUGAAAGACCGGGGCUCAACCCCGGGAACGCGUUGGAUACUGACAGACUAGACGGCUGGAGGGGGUAGCGGAAUUUCCGGAGUAGCGGUGAAAUGCGCAGAUACCGGAAGGAACGCCAAUAGCGAAGGCAGCUACCUAGACAGCACGUGACGCUGAGGCGCGAAAGCAUGGGGAGCAAACCGGAUUAGAUACCCGGGUAGUCCAUGCCCUAAACGAUGAGUGCUGGGUGUCCGGCGUAUGCUGGGUGCCGAAGCUAACGCGUUAAGCACUCCGCCUGGGAAGUACGGUCGCAAGACUGAAACUCAAAGGAAUUGACGGGGCCCCGCACAAGCGGUGGAGCAUGUGGUUUAAUUCGAACGAACGCGCAGAACCUUACCAGGCCUUGACAUCUGGGGAAUCCCGCUGAAAGGUGGGAGUGUCCGCAAGGAAGCCCCAAGACAGGUGCUGCAUGGCUGUCGUCAGCUCGUGUCGUGAGAUGUUGGGUUAAGUCCCGCAACGAGCGCAACCCCUGUAGUUAGUUGCCAGCAGUUCGGCUGGGCACUCUAGCUAUACUGCCUGCGAAAGCAGGAGGAAGGCGGGGAUGACGUCUAGUCCGCAUGGCCCUUACGGCCUGGGCUACACACGUGCUACAAUGGUUGCUACAGAGCGCUGCAACACGGCGACGUGAAGCCAAUCGCUUAAAAGCAACCUCAGUUCGGAUUGGAGUCUGCAACUCGACUCCAUGAAGCCGGAAUCGCUAGUAAUCGCGAAUCAGCUACGUCGCGGUGAAUACGUUCCCGGGGCUUGUACACACCGCCCGUCAAGCCAUGGGAGUAGGUUUCACCUGAAGUCACUGGGAGCUUAAGGCAGGUGCCGAGGGUGGGGCUUAUGACUGGGGCUAAGUCGUAACAAGGUA